UUUCGAUGGUAGGAUCGAGGCCUACCAUGGUUUUUACGGGUAACGGGGAAUUAGGGUUCGAUUCCGGAGAGGGAGCCUGAGAAGGGCUACCACAUCCAAGGAAGGCAGCAGGCGCGCAAAUUACCCAAUCCGGACACCGGGAGGUAGUGACAAUAAAUACAAAUUUGGGACUCUUUUGGGUCCCAAAAUUUGAAUGAGUACAAUUUAAAUCCCUUAACGAGGAACAAUUGGAGGGCAAGUCUGGUGCCAGCAGCCGCGGUAAUUCCAGCUCCAAUAGCGUAUAUUAAAUUUGUUGUAGUUAAAAAGCUCGUAGUUGAAACUUGGGCCUGGCCGGCCGGUCCGCCUCACCGCGUGCACUGGUUCGGCCGGGCCUUUCCUUCUGGGGAGCCGCAUGCCCUUGAUUGGGUGUGCCGGGGAACCAGGACUUUUACUUUGAAAAAAUUAGAGUGUUCAAAGCAGGCCUAUGCUCGSAGWCAUUAGNCAGUCAAGACACACGAAC
rnacentral:rRNA from 1 species